rnacentral:snoRNA from 11 species
AAACUUGGUGCAGAGGUGGCCCAAUGUACAGCACAUUGGAGAAAUCUAACCUUGAGGUUACUAGAGCAUGCACUACCAUCUUUAGGUCU